rnacentral:lncRNA from 1 species
CAGCCAGCCCCAGGCACCAAAACACAUUCAACCUUGGGGGGCCAUUACUCACCACUUCUUCCUUGACCCCACAAGCACCCACCCUGCCGUAUCCCCCUGGCCCAUCCACUGCCCCUGGCUCUGCAGCUGCCACCUACACAUCUAGUGCCGUGGCCACUAUUUGGCCCAACGUACAUUCUGGUGAGAAACACAGUGGCUCUGCCUCAGAGUCCAUGGCACCAGUUGCCAUGGUAACUCCCAAUGUCUCUACUGCCCCUUGUGCAGGAGAAGGUGACCUCGGGUCUGGGGCACAACAAGAGCUUUACAAGGGGAAUUCUGCAUGCACAGGUUGCGGAGUUCCUACUCCCUGAUGUCCCACAACCCUCCCCGCCACCUGGACUGUUGAAAAGCUCCAAUGCAUUCCUGAGACUUCAGAAACAUUCUAUGGAGAAUUGAGAAGAGAGCAUUUUUUGAGCCAGAAAGUGCUUCCCUGUGAAGUUUGUAU